AAACUUAAGGAAUUGACGGGGCCGCACAAGCGGUGGAGCAUGUGGUUUAAUUCGAAGCAACGCGAAGAACCUUACCAGGUCUUGACAUCCCCUGACAACCCAAGAGAUUGGGCGUUCCCCUUCGGGGGACAGGGUGACAGGUGGUGCAUGGUUGUCGUCAGCUCGUGUCGUGAGAUGUUGGGUUAAGUCCCGCAACGAGCGCAACCCUCGCCUUUAGUUGCCAGCAUUCAGUUGGGCACUCUAAAGGGACUGCCGGUGUCAAACCGGAGGAAGGUGGGGAUGACGUCAAGUCCUCAUGGCCUUUAUGUCUAGAGCUACACACGUACUACAAUGGCAGGUACAAAGGGCAGCGACACAGCGAUGUGAUGCGAAUCCCGAAAAGCCUGUCUCAGUCCGGAUCGGAGUCUGCAACUCGACUCCGUGAAGUUGGAAUCGCUAGUAAUCGUGGAUCAGCAUGCCACGGUCGAAUACGUUCCCGGGCCUU
rnacentral:rRNA from 1 species